UCAGAUUGAACGCUGGCGGCGUGCUUAACACAUGCAAGUCGCGCGUGAAAGGACUUCGGUCCGAGUAAAGCGGCGCACGGGUGAGUAACGCGUGGAUGAUCUACCCAUGAGUUAGGAAUAACGGCUGGAAACGGUCGCUAAUACCAAAUACGCUCCGAUUUCAACUUCGGGGGAAAGGUGGCCUCUGCUUGCAAGCUACUGCUCAUGGAUGAGUCCGCGUCCCAUUAGCUAGUUGGUGGGGUAACGGCCCACCAAGGCGACGAUGGGUAGCCGGUCUGAGAGGAUGACCGGCCACACUGGGACUGGAACACGGCCCAGACUCCUACGGGAGGCAGCAGUGGGGAAUAUUGCGCAAUGGGCGAAAGCCUGACGCAGCGACGCCGCGUGAGGGGAAUGAAGGUCCUCGGAUCGUAAACCUCUGUCAGGAGGGAAGAACCGCCACGGUGCUAAUCAGCCGUGGUCUGACGGUACCUCCAAAGGAAGCACCGGCUAACUCCGUGCCAGCCGCCGC
rnacentral:rRNA from 1 species